GUCGCCAUAGUUUAGUGGUCAGAAUUCCUGCCUGUCAUUAGGAUCGUGGAACGCAGGGGGCCGGGGUUCGAUUCCCCGUGGUGGCG